rnacentral:rRNA from 1 species
GACGAACGUUGGCGGCGUGCUUAAUACAUGCAAGUCCACUGAAGCAGUGGAAGCAAUAUCGCUGUGGAGGUGGCGCACGGGUGAGUAACACGUAGGUAAUCUGCCUUCAGGUCUGGCAUAACUCCGGGAAACCGGGGCUAAUAGCAGAUGAUGCAGCGGCUCGACAUCGAGACAGUUGUUAAAGCUAUGGCGCCUGAAGAUGAGCCUGCGUCUGAUUAGCUAGUUGGCGGGGUAACGGCCCACCAAGGCAACGAUCAGUAGCUGGUCUGAGAGGAUGAUCAGCCACACUGGAACUGAGACACGGUCCAGACUCCUACGGGAGGCAGCAGUAAGGAAUAUUGCUCAAUGGGAGAAAUCCUGAAGCAGCAACGCCGCGUGAGGGACGAAGGGCUUUUGCUUGUAAACCUCUGUAGUGAGAGAAAAAAAUCCCAAUCUUUGGGACAUGAUGGUAUCUCAAAAGUAAGCCCCGGCUAACUACGUG